UACGUAGGUGGCGAGCGUUGUCCGGAUUUACUGGGCGUAAAGAGCGCGCAGGCGGUCGUAUAAGUCGCGUGUGAAAGCCCCCGGCUCAACUGGGGAGGGUCACGCGAUACUGUUCGACUUGAAGGCAGGAGAGGGAAGCGGAAUUCCCGGUGUAGUGGUGAAAUGCGUAGAGAUCCGGAGGAAUACCAGUGGCGCAGGCGGCGCUCUGGGUCACACCUGACACUGAGAUACGAAGGCAUGGGGAGCGAACGGG
rnacentral:rRNA from 1 species